GUGGCGAACGGGUGAGUAAUGCAUCUUAACGUGCCCAGUCGUGGGGGAUAACGCAGCGAAAGCUGCGCUAAUACCGCAUACGAUCUGUGGAUGAAAGCGGGGGACCUUCGGGCCUCGCGCGAUUGGAGCGGCCGAUGUCAGAUUAGGUAGUUGGUGGGGUAAAGGCUCACCAAGCCGACGAUCUGUAGCUGGUCUGAGAGGACGACCAGCCACACUGGGACUGAGACACGGGCCAGACUCCUACGGGAGGCAGCAGUGGGGAAUUUUGGACAAUGGGGGCAACCCUGAUCCAGCAAUGCCGCGUGCAGGAAGAAGGCCUUCGGGUUGUAAACUGCUUUUGUACGGAACGAAAAGGCUCUGGUUAAUACCUGGGGCUCAUGACGGUACCGUAAGAAUAAGCACCGGCUAACUACGUGCCAGCAGCCGCGGUAAUACGUAGGGUGCGAGCGUUAAUCGAAAUUACUGGGCGUAAAGCGUGCGCAGGCGGUGCUGUAAGACAAGCGUGAAAUCCCCGGGCUUAACCUGGGAAUGGCGCUUGUGACUGCAGUGCUGGAGUGUGGCAGAGGGGGAUGGAAUUCCGCGUGUAGCAGUGAAAUGCGUAGAUAUGCGGAGGAACACCGAUGGCGAAGGCAAUCCCCUGGGCCUGCACUGACGCUCAUGCACAAAAGCGUGGGGAGCAAACAGGAUUAGAUACCCUGGUAGUCCACGCCCUAACGAUG
rnacentral:rRNA from 1 species